rnacentral:rRNA from 1 species
AUGAAGAAUARUUAGUGGCAGACGGGUGAGUAAUGCAUAGGAAUCUACCUAGUAGUAUGGGAUAGCCACUAGAAAUGGUGGGUAAUACUGUAUAAUCCCUGCGGGGGAAAGAUUUAUCGCUAUUAGAUGAGCCUAUGUUAGAUUAGCUAGUUGGUAGGGUAAAGGCCUACCAAGGCGAUGAUCUAUAGCUGGUCUGAGAGGAUGAUCAGCCACACUGGAACUGAGAUACGGUCCAGACUCCUACGGGAGGCAGCAGUGGGGAAUAUUGGACAAUGGGCGCAAGCCUGAUCCAGCUAUGCCGCGUGAGUGAGGAAGGCCUUAGGGUUGUAAAACUCUUUCAGUAGGGAAGAUAAUGACGGUACCUACAGAAGAAGUCCCGGCAAACUCCGUGCCAGCAGCCGCGGUAAUACGGAGGGGGCAAGCGUUGUUCGGAAUUAUUGGGCGUAAAGGGCAUGUAGGCGGUUCGGUAAGUUAAAGGUGAAAUGCCAGGGCUUAAC